rnacentral:tRNA from 1 species
CGGGGUAUAGUUCAGGGAUAGAGCGCUCGCUUCGUAUGCGAGAGGUCUGAGGUUUGAUUCCCCUUGCCUCCA